rnacentral:lncRNA from 1 species
CCAGUAUCACAGGAGAGAAUGUAAAAUUCUGUCGUCUAAGAUACAGAGAUCCAACUUUCUUUUGGAGAUAUUUUAAAAAGAAGCAAAACGCUGAAGACGCAGCCGAAGCCCCCAUCCCUCCACGAAUCUGCUUUCCUCCACACCCAUCUUCUGAAAAGGGAGCAUCUACUCAGAGUUUGAUAUACAUCAUUCUCAUUCAUGGCUUGUCAG